rnacentral:rRNA from 1 species
AGUAUCUUGUUUGGUCAAGCAAGCAAGGGCAAACGGUGGAUGCCUUGGCGCCAGGAGGCGAUGAAGGACGUGGCUAGCUGCGAAAAGCCUCGGGGAGCUGCUAAGCAAGCUUUGAUCCGGGGAUUUCCGAAUGGGGAAACCCGUCCGGGGUCAUGCCCGGUCAUCCGGCUCUGAAUUCAUAGGAGCCGGAGGCAAACCCGGGGAACUGAAACAUCUCAGUACCCGGUGGAAUGGAAAUCAACUGAGACUCCCCUAGUAGCGGCGAGCGAACGGGGACCAUGCCUAAACCGGUGGGAAGCAAUUCCUACCGGGGUUGUGGGACUCCAACAUGGGAUCUGGAAGGGUAGGAGAACGGUCUGGAAAGGCCGGCCAGAGAGGGUGACAGCCCUGUAUCCGAAACCUCGAAGGACCCUAGGAGAUUCCCGAGUACCACGGGGCACGUGAAGCCCUGUGGGAAUCUGGGUGGACCAUCAUCCAAGGCUAAGUACUACCUGGCGACCGAUAGUGAACCAGUACCGUGAGGGAAAGGCGAAAAGAACCCCGGCGAGGGGAGUGAAAUAGACCCUGAAACCGUUUGCCUACAUUCAGUAGGAGCUCUAUGGCCGAUCUUCGGAUCGGCAACGAGUGACUGCGUACCUUUUGUUUAAUGGGUCCGCGAGUUACUCCUCGGCAGCAAGGUUAAGCCGUGAGGUGUAGCCGUAGCGAAAGCAAGUCUGAACAGGGCGUUCAGUUGCCGGGGGUAGACCCGAAACCGAGUGAUCUAUCCAUGGCCAGGUUGAAGCUCGGGUAAGACCGAGUGGAGGACCGAACCGUAGAAGGUUGAAAACUUCCCGGAUGAGCUGUGGAUAGGGGUGAAAGGCCAAUCAAACUCGGAGAUAGCUGGUUCUCCCCGAAAUAUAUUGAGGUAUAGCCUUGCGUAUCACCACCGGAGGUAGAGCACUGGAUGGGCUAGGGGUCCUACCAGAUUACCGAACCCAACCAAACUCCGAAUACCGGUGAGUGCAGCGUGGGAGUCAGACUGCGGGCGAUAAGGUUCGUGGUCGAGAGGGAAACAGCCCAGACCGCCAGCUAAGGUCCCGAAAUCCGUGCUAAGUGGGAAAGGAUGUGGGAGCGCUUAGACAGCCAGGAGGUUGGCUUAGAAGCAGCCACCCUUUAAAAAGUGCGUAAUAGCUUACUGGUCUAGUGAGCCUGCGCCGAAAAUGUAACGGGGCUUAAGCACGGUACCGAAGCUGCGGGAUUACAAUGCCUUCGGGCAUUGCAAUCGGUAGGGGAGCGUUCCAGUAGCCUGUGAAGCUCGACGGAAACGACGAGUGGAGGUCCUGGAAGUGCUUAUGCGGACAUGAGUAGCGAUAAACAGGGUGAGAAACCCUGUCGCCGUAAGCCUGAGGGUUCCUGAGUAAAGCUAAUCUGCUCAGGGUUAGUCGGCCCCUAAGCCGAGGGCGAAAGCCGUAGGCGAUGGGAAACGGGUUAAUAUUCCCGUACCACUAGAUGGACGUUUGACCGAAGGGGGGACGGAGAAGGGUAGCCGGGCCGGGUGCUGGACAUCCCGGUUCAAGUCUGUAGGCGGGUGGCGCAGGUAAAUCCACGCCGCCAUUCAACGCCGAGAGGCGAUGUCGAGAGCCGUAAGGCUCACAAAGUCGGUGAUCCCAUGCUUCCGAGAAAAGCCUCGUAGGGAGUUCGUCUGGUGACCGUACCGUAAACCGACACAGGUAGGUGGGCAGAGCAUGCCAAGGCGCUUGGGAGAACCCUGGUUAAGGAACUCGGCAAAUUGACACCGUAACUUCGGGAGAAGGUGUGCCUCUGCUGGUGAAGGACUUCGCGUCUCUAGCUGGUGGGGGUUGCAGAGAGCAGGGGGUAGCGACUGUUUACUAAAAACAUAGGACUCUGCGAAGUCGUCAAGACGACGUAUAGGGUCUGACGCCUGCCCGGUGCCGGAAGGUUAAGGGAACCUGUCAGGACUUCGGUCCGAAGCAGUGAACCGAAGCCCCGGUAAACGGCGGCCGUAACUAUAACGGUCCUAAGGUAGCGAAAUUCCUUGUCGGGUAAGUUCCGACCUGCACGAAUGGCGUAACG